rnacentral:rRNA from 1 species
CCUACGGGAGGCAGCAGUGGGGAAUAUUGCACAAUGGGCGCAAGCCUGAUGCAGCCAUGCCGCGUGUGUGAAGAAGGCCUUCGGGUUGUAAAGCACUUUCAGCGGGGAGGAAGGCGGUGAGGUUAAUAACCUCAUCGAUUGACGUUACCCGCAGAAGAAGCACCGGCUAACUCCGGGCCAGCAGCCGCGGUAAUACGGAGGGUGCAAGCGUUAAUCGGAAUUACGGGGCGUAAAGCGCACGCAGGCGGUCUGUCAAGUCGGAUGUGAAAUCCCCGGGCUCAACCUGGGAACUGCAUUCGAAACUGGCAGGCUAGAGUCUUGUAGAGGGGGGUAGAAUUCCAGGUGUAGCGGUGAAAUGCGUAGAGAGCUGGAGGAAUACCGGUGGCGAAGGCGGCCCCCUGGACAAAGACUGACGCUCAGGUGCGAAAGCGUGGGGAGCAAACAGGAUUAGAUACCCCAGUAGUC